CCUCCAUGAUCUGCGGGCAGAUCAGGUGCACGUGGCAGUCGAUCGCCCCCGCGGUGACGAUGCGGCCGUUGCCGGCGAUGACCUCCGUCGACGGUCCGACCACGAGGUCGGGGUGCACCCCCGACAUGAUGUCCGGAUUGCCCGCCUUGCCGAUGGCGACGAUGCGGCCGUCACGAAUCCCGAUGUCGGCCUUGAUGAUCCCCCAGUAGUCGAGGAUGACCGCGCCGGUGAUGACGGUGUCGGGGGCGCCGUCCGCGCGGGUGGCGCGGGACUGGCCCAUCGACUCGCGCAG
rnacentral:sRNA from 1 species